UACGUAGGGUGCGAGCGUUGUCCGGAAUUAUUGGGCGUAAAGAGCUCGUAGGCGGCUUGUCACGUCGGUUGUGAAAGCCCGGGGCUUAACCCCGGGUCUGCAGUCGAUACGGGCAGGCUAGAGUUCGGUAGGGGAGACUGGAAUUCCUGGUGUAGCGGUGAAAUGCGCAGAUAUCAGGAGGAACACCGGUGGCGAAGGCGGCAUCCUGGACCGGCAUUGACGCUGAGGCGCGAAAGCCAGGGGAGCAAACGGG
rnacentral:rRNA from 1 species